rnacentral:rRNA from 1 species
CCUUNNGGUCUCUUCANAGAGANCGCGGACGGGUGAGUACGCGUGGGUAACCUGCCCUGUACACACGGAUAACAUACCGAAAGGUAUACUAAUACGGGAUAACAUANGAAAGUCGCAUGGCUUUUGUAUCAAAGCUCCGGCGGUACAGGAUGGACCCGCGUCUGAUUAGCUAGUUGGUAAGGUAAUGGCUUACCAAGGCAACGAUCAGUAGCCGACCUGAGAGGGUGAUCGGCCACACUGGAACUGAGACACGGUCCAGACUCCUACGGGAGGCAGCAGUGGGGAAUAUUGCACAAUGGGCGAAAGCCUGAUGCAGCAACGCCGCGUGAGCGAUGAAGGCCUUCGGGUCGUAAAGCUCUGUCCUCAAGGAAGAUAAUGACGGUACUUGAGGAGGAAGCCCCGGCUAACUACGUGCCAGCAGCCGCGGUAAUACGUAGGGGGCUAGCGUUAUCCGGAAUUACUGGGCGUAAAGGGUGCGUAGGUGGUUUUUUAAGUCAGAAGUGAAAGGCUACGGCUCAACCGUAGUAAGCUUUUGAAACUAGAGAACUUGAGUGCAGGAGAGGAGAGUAGAAUUCCUAGUGUAGCGGUGAAAUGCGUAGAUAUUAGGAGGAAUACCAGUAGCGAAGGCGGCUCUCUGGACUGUAACUGACACUGAGGCACGAAAGCGUGGGGAGCAAACAGGAUUAGAUACCCUGGUAGUCCACGCCGUAAACGAUGAGUACUAGGUGUCGGGGGUUACCCCCCUCGGUGCCGCAGCUAACGCAUUAAGACUCCGCCUGNAG